AUUGAACGCUGGCGGCAUGCCUUACACAUGCAAGUCGAACGGCAGCACGGGUGCUUGCCCCUGGUGGCGAGUGGCGAACGGGUGAGUAAUACAUCGGAACAUGUCCUGUAGUGGGGGAUAGCCCGGCGAAAGCCGGAUUAAUACCGCAUACGAUCUACGGAUGAAAGCGGGGGACCUUCGGGCCUCGCGCUAUAGGGUUGGCCGAUGGCUGAUUAGCUAGUUGGUGGGGUAAAGGCCUACCAAGGCGACGAUCAGUAGCUGGUCUGAGAGGACGACCAGCCACACUGGGACUGAGUCACGGCCCAGACUCCUACGGGAGGCAGCAGUGGGGAAUUUUGGACAAUGGGCGAAAGCCUGAUCCAGCAAUGCCGCGUGUGUGAAGAAGGCCUUCGGGUUGUAAAGCACUUUUGUCCGGAAAGAAAUCCUUGGCCCUAAUACGGUCGGGGGAUGACGGUACCGGAAGAAUAAGCACCGGCUAACUACGUG
rnacentral:rRNA from 1 species